rnacentral:rRNA from 1 species
UACGUAGGGCGCAAGCGUUAUCCGGAAUUAUUGGGCGUAAAGAGCUCGUAGGCGGUUUGUCGCGUCUGCCGUGAAAGUCCGGGGCUCAACUCCGGAUCUGCGGUGGGUACGGGCAGACUAGAGUGAUGUAGGGGAGACUGGAAUUCCUGGUGUAGCGGUGAAAUGCGCAGAUAUCAGGAGGAACACCGAUGGCGAAGGCAGGGCUCUGGGCAUGAACUGACGCUGAGGAGCGAAAGCAUGGGGAGCGAACAGG